rnacentral:rRNA from 1 species
CAGCAGCCACGGUAAAACGGAGGAUCCAAGCGUUAUCCGGAAUCAUUGGGUUUAAAGGGUCCGUAGGCGGUCUUGUAAGUCAGUGGUGAAAGCCCAUCGCUCAACGGUGGAACGGCCAUUGAUACUGCAGGACUUGAAUUAUUGGGAAGUAACUAGAAUAUGUAGUGUAGCGGUGAAAUGCUUAGAGAUUACAUGGAAUACCAAUUGCGAAGGCAGGUUACUACCAAUUGAUUGACGCUGAUGGACGAAAGCGUGGGUAGCGAACAGGAUUAGAUACCCGAGUAGUCCCUGUCUCUUAUAA